CCCUUAGACGUCCUGGGCCGCACGCGCGCUACAAUGACUCAUGCAACAAGUUCUUCCAAACUCGAAAGAGGUCAGGAAAUCUUUAUAAUGUGAGUCGUACUAGUAGGGAUUGAUCUUUGCAAUUCUGGAUCAUGAACGAGGAAUUCCUAGUAAGCAUAAGUCAUCAACUUGUGCUGAUUACGUCCCUGCCCUUUGUACACACCGCCCGUCGCUACUACCGAUUGAAUGGUUUAGUGAGGUGUUUGGACCGGAACUCUCUUGCUCAGCAAUGGGCGAGAGAGAGUCUGGGAAGUCCCUCGAACUGUAUCAUUUAGAGGAAGUAAAAGUCGUAACA
rnacentral:rRNA from 1 species